GUAACAGGGUGCGGGGAUUUAAAAUCCCUCGACUUUCGAGUCGUGCCGGUUCAAGUCCGGCCCGGGGCACCA
rnacentral:tRNA from 1 species